AGUGAACGCUGGCGGUAGGCCUAACACAUGCAAGUCGAACGGCAGCACAGUAAGAGCUUGCUCUUACGGGUGGCGAGUGGCGGACGGGUGAGGAAUACAUCGGAAUCUACUUUUUCGUGGGGGAUAACGUAGGGAAACUUACGCUAAUACCGCAUACGACCUACGGGUGAAAGCAGGGGAUCUUCGGACCUUGCGCGAUUGAAUGAGCCGAUGUCGGAUUAGCUAGUUGGCGGGGUAAAGGCCCACCGAGGCGACGAUCCGUAGCUGGUCUGAGAGGAUGAUCCGCCCCACUGGAACUGAGACACGGGCCCGACUCCCACGGGAGGCAGCAGUGGGGAAUAUUGGACAAUGGGCGCAAGCCUGAUCCAGCCAUACCGCGUGGGUGAAGAAGGCCUUCGGGUUGUAAAGCCCUUUUGUUGGGAAAGAAAAGCAGCAGGUUAAUACCCCGCUGUUCUGACGGUACCCAAAGAAUAAGCACCGGCUAACUUCGUG
rnacentral:rRNA from 1 species